rnacentral:rRNA from 1 species
ACUCUCAACAACGGAUAUCUUGGCUCUCGCAACGAUGAAGAACGCAGCGAAAUGCGAUACGUAGUGUGAAUUGCAGAAUUCCGUGAACCAUCGAAUCUUUGAACGCAUAUUGCGCUCGAGCCCUCGGGCAAGAGCAUGUCUGCCUCAGCGUCGGUUUAUACCCUCACCCCUCUCUCCUUUUGGAGGGCUGGUCAGCUUCUAGUUGGCCUCAGGGAUGGAUCUGGCUUUCCCAAUUGGUUCACUCCGAUUGGGUUGGCUGAAGCUUAGAGGCUUAAGCAAGGACCCGAUAUGGGCUUCAACUGGAUAGGUAGCACCGGCUUCUGCCGACUACACGAAGUUGUGGCUUGUGGACUUUGCUAGAGGCCAAGCAGGAAACAUGCUUUGCAUGUCUUAAACUUUCGACCUGAGCUCAGGCAAGGCUACCCGCUGAACUUAAGCAUAUCAAUAAGCGGAGGAAAAGAAACUAACUAGGAUGCGCUUAGUAACGGCGAGCGAACCGCGCAAAGCCCAACUUGAAAAUCUCCCUUGGAGAAUUGUAGUCUAUAGAAGUACCCUCUGUAACGGGCGCAGCUCAAGUCUCCUGGAAAGGGGCGUCAGAGAGGGUGAGAACCCCGUAAGCUGUUGCUUUGUUGCCUCACGAGGUGCUUUCAAAGAGUCGGGUUGCUUGGGAAUGCAGCCCAAAUUUGGUGGUAAAUCCCAUCUAAGGCUAAAUAUUGGCGAGAGACCGAUAGCGAACAAGUACCGUGAGGGAAAGAUGAAAAGAACUUUGAAAAGAGAGUUAAAAAGUGCUUGAAAUUGUUGAGGGGAAGCGUUUGAAUGCUAGAGUGCGCCUAGGCUUAUGGGUUCUUAACGGAGCUCUGUAUGUGCUAGGUGCUGGCCAGCAUGGGUUAGGCGAGCGGGAUAAACGCUGGGGUUGAUACCCGGUCUAUGCCGCUUGCUUGACCAAGGCGUGAAGACUGCCCUUGUCCUUCGGGAACUGCAGUCUCAAGAUGCUGGCAAAAGGCUUUCAACCGACCCGUCUUGAAACACGGACCAAGGAGUCUAACAUGUAUGCGAGUUGGUGGGUGGAAAACCCAUGAAGCGUAAGGAAACUGACUGGUGAGAUGGCCUGUGCCUGCAUCAUCGACCGACCAUGCGUUUCUGCAAAAGGUUUGAGUGCGAGCAUACCUGUUGGGACCCGAAGAUGGUGAACUAUGCCUGAGCAGGGUGAAGCCAGGUGAAAACCUGGUGGAGGCUCGUAGAUGUGCUGACGUGCAAAUCGCUUUUCGGACUUGGGUAUAGGGGCGAAAGACUAAUCGAACCAUCUAGUAGCUGGUUUCCUCCGAAGUUUCCCCCAGGAUAGCUGGAGCUUAAUCGGAGUACGGUCAGGUAAAGCGAAUGAUUAGAGGUUCGGGGGAUGUAACAUCCUUCACCUAUUCUCAAACUUUAAAUAGGCCGGACGUCCAGGUUGCUUAAUUGAACCUGUGGCAUUCUAUCCGAGCUCCAAGUGGGCCAUUUUUGGUAAGCAGAACUGGCGAUGCGGGAUGAACCGAUAGUCGAGUUAAGGUGCCAAACUACGCGCUAACCUAGAUCCCACAAAGGGUGUUGAUUGAUAUAGACAGCAGGACGGUGGUCAUGGAAGUCGAAAUCCGCUAAGGAGUGUGUAACAACUCACCUGCCGAAUCAAUUAGCCCGAAAAUGGAUGGGCGCUGAAGCGCGUGACCUAUACUCGGCCAUGGAAGUAAGUGCGAGACUUCCAUGAGUAGGAGGACGUGAAUAUCGUUGCGCAGCCUGGGGCGUGAGCCUGGGUGAAACGGUAUUUAGUGCAGAUCUUGGUGGUAGUAGCAAAUAUUCAAAUGAGAACUUUGAAGACUGAAGUGGAGAAAGGUUCCAUGUGAACAGCAAUUGGACAUGGUUAGUCGAUCCUAAGAGAUGGGGUAUCCUGUAUCAAGAGCGCGAUUAGCGCUGCCCAUCGAAAGGGAAAAGGGUUAAGAUUCCCUUACCUGGACACGGCGGCUGACGGUAACGUUAACGAGCCCGUAGACAUCGGCAUUGGCCCUGGGAAGAGUUCUCUUUUCUUUUUAACAGCUCGAAGGCCCUGGAAUCGAAUCAUUCGGAGAUAGGGCUCAGAAGCUGGUAAAGCACCGCACGUUUCGUGGUGUCCGGCGCGCCAAUGACGGUCCUUGAAAAUACGGGGGAGCAAUUACCGAUCGUGCCAGGUCGUACUCAUAACCGCAUCAGGUCUCCAAGGUGAACAGCCUCUAGUCGAUAGAAUAAUGUAGAUAAGGGAAGUCGGCAAAAUGGAUCCGUAACUUCGGGAAAAGGAUUGGCUCUG